GAGUUUGAUCCUGGCUCAGGAUAAACGCUGGCGGCGCACAUAAGACAUGCAAGUCGAACGGACUUAGGCUCAUUCUUUACGAUUGAGUACGGUUAGUGGCGGACUGGUGAGUAACGCGUGAGCAACCUGCCUAUAAGAGGGGAACAACAGCUAGAAAUGACUGCUAAUACCGCAUAAGCUGAUAGGUCCACAUGGACUAGUCAGAAAAGGAGCAAUCCGCUUAUAGAUGGGCUCGCGUCCGAUUAGCUAGUUGGUGGGGUAAAGGCCUACCAAGGCGACGAUCGGUAGCCGGACUGAGAGGUUGAACGGCCACAUUGGGACUGAGAUACGGCCCAGACUCCUACGGGAGGCAGCAGUCGGGAAUAUUGCGCAAUGGAGGAAACUCUGACGCAGUGACGCCGCGUAUAGGAAGAAGUUUUUCGGAAUGUAAACUAUUGUCGUUAGGGAAGAGAAAGGACGGUACCUAAGGAGGAAGCCCCGGCUAACUAUGUGCCAGCAGCCGCGGUAAUACAUAGGGGGCAAGCGUUAUCCGGAAUUAUUGGGUGUAAAGGGUGUGUAGACGGGAAAUUAAGUUGGUUGUGAAAUCCCCAGGCUUAACUUGGGAACUGCAACCGAAACUGGUUUUCUUGAGUACUGGAGAGGAAAGUGGAAUUCCUAGUGUAGCGGUGA
rnacentral:rRNA from 1 species